ensembl:lncRNA PLAC9P1 placenta associated 9 pseudogene 1
GGCCGGGCGCGAUCCGGGAAGGGCGGCUGCGGUCGCAAGCCGCGCUGCUUUCAGCCAGGCUGGCACCAUGCGGCCCCUGCUUUGCGCGCUGGCCGGGCUGGCCCUGCUCUGUGCCGUGGGCGCUUUGGCCGGUGAGUGGGGCGCGGGGCAUGGCAGGGGACACGGAGCCGGGGAGAUCCGCAGAUGGUGAGGAAGGAAUGAGCAAGAGACAGAGCUGGACACAGCAGCGAGAUGGAGAGAGAGGCAGAUACAGGGAGGGAGGGAUGGAGAGAGAGAUGGUGAGAGGAAACAGACUCAGAAAAAGGCAGAGAAGUAGAGCAACGGAGAGAUAAAGGAGAGAGGGAAGAAUAAACAGUGAACAGGAAAAAAGGAGAGGCCGAGACAGAAAGAGGCUUUCCCUGAACAGAUAUGAACCAAGAUAGAAAUAAAAAAGAGUUUGAGAGACAAAAGAGAAGAAGGAAAGAGAAAGAGUGACUAAAAUGGCAAGGGGUGGAGGGAGAGAGGAUAAGAAAAGAGAAAGAUUUGAGAGAUACCAAAAA